GAUGAACGCUGGCGGCGUGCCUAAUACAUGCAAGUCGAGCGAACAGACAAGGAGCUUGCUCCUCUGACGUUAGCGGCGGACGGGUGAGUAACACGUGGAUAACCUACCUAUAAGACUGGGAUAACUUCGGGAAACCGGAGCUAAUACCGGAUAAUAUAUUGAACCGCAUGGUUCAAUAGUGAAAGACGGUUUUGCUGUCACUUAUAGAUGGAUCCGCGCCGCAUUAGCUAGUUGGUAAGGUAACGGCUUACCAAGGCAACGAUGCGUAGCCGACCUGAGAGGGUGAUCGGCCACACUGGAACUGAGACACGGUCCAGACUCCUACGGGAGGCAGCAGUAGGGAAUCUUCCGCAAUGGGCGAAAGCCUGACGGAGCAACGCCGCGUGAGUGAUGAAGGUCUUCGGAUCGUAAAACUCUGUUAUUAGGGAAGAACAAAUGUGUAAGUAACUAUGCACGUCUUGACGGUACCUAAUCAGAAAGCCACGGCUAGCUACGUG
rnacentral:rRNA from 1 species